GUCGGGAUAGCUCAGCUGGUAGAGCAGA
rnacentral:ncRNA from 13 species